UACGAAGGGGGCUAGCGUUGCUCGGAAUCACUGGGCGUAAAGGGUGCGUAGGCGGGUUUUUAAGUCAGGGGUGAAAUCCUGGAGCUCAACUCCAGAACUGCCUUUGAUACUGAAGAUCUCGAGUCCGGGAGAGGUGAGUGGAACUGCGAGUGUAGAGGUGAAAUUCGUAGAUAUUCGCAAGAACACCAGUGGCGAAGGCGGCUCACUGGCCCGGUACCGACGCUGAGGCACGAAAGCGUGGGGAGCAAACAGG
rnacentral:rRNA from 1 species